GACGAACGCUGGCGGCGUGCUUAACACAUGCAAGUCGAACGGAAAGGCCCUGCUUUUGUGGGGUGCUCGAGUGGCGAACGGGGGAGUAACACGUGAGUAACCUGCCCUUGACUUUGGGAUAACUUAAGGAAACGGGGGCUAAUACCGGAUAGGAGCUCCUGCUGCAGGGUGGGGGUUGGAAAGUGUCGGCGGUUGGGGAUGGACGCGCGGCUUACCCGCUUGUUGGUGGGGUAGGGGCUGUCCAAGGAUUGGAAGGGUAGCCGGCCUGGGAGGGUGACCGGGCACAUUGGGCCUGGGGUGCGGCCCGUACGGAUUCGGGAGGCAGGGGCGGAGACUUGUGCACGACGUGCGGCGUCGUGAUGGAGCAACGCCGGGUGCGGGAUGCCGGUCUUUGGGUUGUAAACCGCGUUCGUCUGUGACGAAGCGUGCGUGACGGUAAUAGGUAAAGAGGCACCGGCUAACUACGU
rnacentral:rRNA from 1 species